rnacentral:rRNA from 1 species
AGUGAACGCUGGCGGCGUGCCUAAUACAUGCAAGUCGAACGAAGUGGCGCACGGGUGAGUAAUAUAUAGUUAAUCUGCCCCACUCAGAGGAACAACAGAUGGAAAUGACUGUUAAUACCUCAUAGUGUAGUAUGAGACUAUAUCGUAUCAGCUAGUUGGUAAGGUAAUGGCUUACCAAGGCGAUGACGCGUAACUGGUCUGAGAGGAUGAUCAGUCACAUUGGAACUGAGGCACGGUGCAAGCUCCUACGGGAGGCGGCAGUAAGGAAUAUUGCGCAAUGGGGGGAACCCUGACACGGCAACGCCGCGGUGAGGAUGACACUUUUCGGAGCGUAAACUCCUUUUAUCAGGAAAGCGGUACCUGAUGAAUAAGCACAGGCUAACUCCGGGCCAGCAGCCGCGGUAAUAC